UUGCGCUCCUUGGGGACCAGAGGCUUGGCAGCCCUUGCCACCCCAGCAUUUUGGCCAGUGGCGGGCAGUGGGGCAGGCCCAGCGCUGAACAUGGGCACUUCCCUGGGGACAGACAGUGACAUGGGGCCACCGUGGGUCCCCUUGGUGGGGCCUAUGGCUGUGGGGAGCUGGAGUCCAACUCUGUUGUGGCCUCACCGGGCAGAGCUGGCAGCCCCACAGCUGACAUGGGAUCCUGGGCCUGGUCAGGUAGGGGAACCCCAGGGGACAGGGACAGGCAGGGCUAUUGGUGCCCUCAGGGCCCUGGCAACAUUUGACAUCAGAUUCUGCAGCAAAGAUACCCAUUCCAGGAACAGACAGGUGGAUUUGCUCCCUAACAGACAUCUCCACAACCUCCCAGGAGGUGAUGUGACAAAUGCAGGAGUCAGGUGACUACAUGGUAGAUAUUUGGGCAAAGAAGGAAAAAAGGUUUCCUGUCUGAUUAGAGCAUUGUUCUGCUGCAGAUCUCUUCUUAUGUUUUGUCAAGGGCACAAAAGUCGGGUCUUGAGGAAGGUCAUGGCAAAAAAUGAAUAACUGCAUCUUCUCCUACAUACAUACCAUUGCUUCAGAAACAUUCCCACUGCCUUUUCCAGUGCAAAAUCUUCCAGCAGCCUCAUGAGGAGAGGAUAGAGUGGUUCACAGGCUCCUUCAGAUUAUUAUUCCCUGGGAGAAGAUACAUCUCAAGCAGGAAUAUAAACAACACUUCAGGUUACCGUUUCUCAAAGGGAACCCUCACAAUGGCACCAAGGCUAAGCCAGCCUUGCAUCAUUCAUGCACAGUUCUGAUAUCUGUCACUAAGAGCCAGGAGUCCUGCAGUGUGAGCAAGAUUUAUCCAAUAAAAACAGCAUUCAAUAUGCACAUCUUUUUCAGACUAACGUAGCUAUCCUAUUAUUUACUCAACUAAUGAUUUGGUCUGUCACGUUUGGGGAAGGUAGAUCUUAAUUCUAGGAAGAAGCAAGCUUAACAGCUUCUGUUGCUUAGAAGUGAAACAAACAAACCACUCUUUAUCAGUGACUGAUUUAUCAUGGAACAGUGGGAAACACAGGGAACAAGAGAGAUUGAAAACAUUCAUCAAAACCUCUGGCACAUUCAUAUGAGUGAAUGGUGAUUAUGAACCACUGCAGGCCUGCAUUGUCCCUACCUGCAUCCCCACAUCAAAUAGCAUGUUGUUUAUGCACUGCUGAUUUGGUGAUAUCUCGAUUAUUCCACAUGCUUUAUUUCAGCAUCACUUCAAAUUUAGUCCUUUGGAGCAGGAACAGUCUUAUUGACUAGCAAACAGCUGGAUGCUUGAUGGCUGUUCAGAGAAUACUGCUUCUGCUGGAUGUGUUAAUAUGCCUUCAUGCCUCAGUGUUUGGACCCCAAAGGACUGGGGUUUUAGAGCAUUGCUACACUUGCAAAACUGGAAAUGCUUUCACGGUUUGGCUGUUUGCCUAUCUUUAGACCUCAGUCACUUUAUUUGAUACCUAUCUAGCAUAUAGGAAAGAUCUCACCCACACCAGCUGAGCUCUGCAAAAACGUGAUUUCAGCAGGCAAGGCAGAAGUGGCUGGAACAGCCUGGUGAGAAUGUCUCACGCACAGCCAGCAACUGUCAGAGUGCAGCAGCAGGCAGCCCUGCCAGGGAGCUCGGCCAAGCCGCAGUCUGGUCUGAAAGAGGGCAGGGGAGACACAGCCGCCUGUGGGGCUCUUCCUCUGUGCAAUGAAUUGGUUUUGUCUCGCUGCUGUGAAGCAACACUUGUCUUUAAAGGACUGCUUUCUACAGACUUCAUGUAAGCCCACAGUUCAUGCCUCAUUUCAUCAGGAUGAAGAAGUGUAAGAGAUUCAUGUUGUAAGUUUGCUUACAAAAUUCCACGACUUUAAAUAA